GGUUGAAGUUCAGGUAACACUGAAUGGAGGACCGAACCGACUUACGUUGAAAAGUGAGCGGAUGAACUGAGGGUAGCGGAGAAAUUCCAAUCGAACCUGGAGAUAGCUGGUUCUCUCCGAAAUAGCUUUAGGGCUAGCCUCAAGUGAUGAUUAUUGGAGGUAGAGCACUGUUUGGACGAGGGGCCCCUCUCGGGUUACCGAAUUCAGACAAACUCCGAAUGCCAAUUAAUUUAACUUGGGAGUCAGAACAUGGGUGAUAAGGUCCGUGUUCGAAAGGGAAACAGCCCAGACCACCAGCUAAGGUCCCAAAAUAUAUGUUAAGUGGAAAAGGAUGUGGCGUUGCCCAGACAACUAGGAUGUUGGCUUAGAAGCAGCCAUCAUUUAAAGAGUGCGUAAUAGCUCACUAGUCGAGUGACACUGCGCCGAAAAUGUACCGGGGCUAAACAUAUUACCGAAGCUGUGGAUUGUCCUUUGGACAAUGGUAGGAGAGCGUUCUAAGGGCGUUGAAGCAUGAUCGUAAGGACAUGUGGAGCGCUUAGAAGUGAGAAUGCCGGUGUGAGUAGCGAAAGACGGGUGAGAAUCCCGUCCACCGAUUGACUAAGGUUUCCAGAGGAAGGCUCGUCCGCUCUGGGUUAGUCGGGUCCUAAGCUGAGGCCGACAGGCGUAGGCGAUGGAUAACAGGUUGAUAUUCCUGUACCACCUAUAAUCGUUUUAAUCGAUGGGGGGACGCAGUAGGAUAGGCGAAGCGUGCGAUUGGAUUGCACGUCUAAGCAGUAAGGCUGAGUAUUAGGCAAAUCCGGUACUCGUUAAGGCUGAGCUGUGAUGGGGAGAAGACAUUGUGUCUUCGAGUCGUUGAUUUCACACUGCCGAGAAAAGCCUCUAGAUAGAAAAUAGGUGCCCGUACCGCAAACCGACACAGGUAGUCAAGAUGAGAAUUCUAAGGUGAGCGAGCGAACUCUCGUUAAGGAACUCGGCAAAAUGACCCCGUAACUUCGGGAGAAGGGGUGCUCUUUAGGGUUAACGCCCAGAAGAGCCGCAGUGAAUAGGCCCAAGCGACUGUUUAUCAAAAACACAGGUCUCUGCUAAACCGUAAGGUGAUGUAUAGGGGCUGACGCCUGCCCGGUGCUGGAAGGUUAAGAGGAGUGGUUAGCUUCUGCGAAGCUACGAAUCGAAGCCCCAGUAAACGGCGGCCGUAACUAUAACGGUCCUAAGGUAGCGAAAUUCCUUGUCGGGUAAGUUCCGACCCGCACGAAAGGCGUAACGAUUUGGGCACUGUCUCAACGAGAGACUCGGUGAAAUCAUAGUACCUGUGAAGAUGCAGGUUACCCGCGACAGGACGGAAAGACCCCGUGGAGCUUUACUGUAGCCUGAUAUUGAAAUUCGGCACAGCUUGUACAGGAUAGGUAGGAGCCUUUGAAACGUGAGCGCUAGCUUACGUGGAGGCGCUGGUGGGAUACUACCCUAGCUGUGUUGGCUUUCUAACCCGCACCACUUAUCGUGGUGGGAGACAGUGUCAGGCGGGCAGUUUGACUGGGGCGGUCGCCUCCUAAAAGGUAACGGAGGCGCUCAAAGGUUCCCUCAGAAUGGUUGGAAAUCAUUCAUAGAGUGUAAAGGCAUAAGGGAGCUUGACUGCGAGACCUACAAGUCGAGCAGGGUCGAAAGACGGACUUAGUGAUCCGGUGGUUCCGCAUGGAAGGGCCAUCGCUCAACGGAUAAAAGCUACCCCGGGGAUAACAGGCUUAUCUCCCCCAAGAGUUCACAUCGACGGGGAGGUUUGGCACCUCGAUGUCGGCUCAUCGCAUCCUGGGGCUGUAGUCGGUCCCAAGGGUUGGGCUGUUCGCCCAUUAAAGCGGUACGCGAGCUGGGUUCAGAACGUCGUGAGACAGUUCGGUCCCUAUCCGUCGUGGGCGUAGGAAAUUUGAGAGGAGCUGUCCUUAGUACGAGAGGACCGGGAUGGACAUACCUCUGGUGUACCAGUUGUCGUGCCAACGGCAUAGCUGGGUAGCUAUGUGUGGACGGGAUAAGUGCUGAAAGCAUCUAAGCAUGAAGCCCCCCUCAAGAUGAGAUUUCCCAACUUCGGUUAUAAGAUCCCUCAAAGAUGAUGAGGUUAAUAGGUUCGAGGUGGAAGCAUGGUGACAUGUGGAGCUGACGAAUACUAAUCGAUCGAAGACUUAAUCAA
rnacentral:rRNA from 1 species